rnacentral:lncRNA from 1 species
UGCAAAUAAAAAAAAACGACCAACAUCUAUUCAUUACUUGAAUCUAGACAAUGCACAAGCUAGUUCUUUCCUCUAUAUGAAAGAUAGCGACUUGAAAAAGAGAACAGGGAGUUUAUAAACCCUUUGGAAUGCAGAGAACAUCCUGUACUGAAAUAAACAUAAUCUGGUGAGUGAAUUAUUUUUUAUAAAAGAAACUUGUCAAGGCUUAU